CAAGUACUCCCUCUGUCUAGAAUUACUUGUCAUCAAAAUGGAUGUGUCUAGAACUAAAAUACAAAUAGAUACAUCCAUUUCAAUGACAAGUAUUUUUGGACGGAGGGAGUACAAG
rfam:Triticum urartu cultivar G1812 contig506477, whole genome shotgun sequence.